GCCAGGCUCCUAGCCACCGGGGCUGCCCUGGGGCAGGGGGGCUGGGGGGCCACCGUGCCUGGUGGCUGCUGGCCUGCCGGUGCCAAAGGGCAGGACGUGGGGGUCCCUGGGGACACACGUGCGGCGGUGGCUGCGCGUGUGUGCAGGCGGGCGCGAGGCUCCGGCGAGCGCGUGGCUGUGGGGCCCCCCGCCCCAGUCCCCUGCGGCAGGCACCCCCUGGGGCCAUGCUGGGGGGUGCGGAGCAGGGCUCGGGGCGCCUGCGGAUCUGCGAGCGGACCAAGCUGCUGCUGGUGGAGAUCGACACAGUGGCGUGUUGCAGCCCAGGUGCCGGCAUGGCUGCGGGGUGCCAGCCUGCACCCCCCUGGACCUACCGCCGCAUCGCCGGGGAGUACGCGUACCUGGAGAAGUGCUUCGUGGCAGAGCUGGCCCCUCCCUGGCCCCCAGCACCCCCUGUUCCCCCCCGACGCCUGCAGGACUCCGCCAUCCCGGCCCCCCCGAGACGUGAGACCCAGCCCCGGGCCCCCCCCACGCGCUGCCUCCCAGGACAGCCUGAGGGAACGGGGAGCAGAGGACACCCACCGUGUGCCCCCCAUGCCCAGCUGCUGGGGGACAGGUUGGCGCCCCCCAGCUAUGAGGUUCACAUGCAGCGGGUGCAGGUGGCCCACGCUCGCCGUGGGGGUCCUCCCCCCUACAUCUCGCCCCCUGCCUACAAUGCUCCCCACCGCACCCUGAAGCUCCAGCCCCCCAGGGGACCGCGCAGCCCCCCCCCGGCACCCAAGAGCCGCCGGGCUGUGCUGGGGGGCUGGAGCCAUACCCUGCCCCGGGCGGCCACUGAAGCCGGGCACCGCCGGCCCCGUGGGAUGCGGCCAUCCCCGGGGGGGCCUGCCACCCCCCGGCACAGUCAGACACUGCCCCGGGCAGCCGCCAGCUGGGAACGGAUCCCAGGACAUGGCAGGGGGCAGCGGGGGAUGGGGGGGCACGUCCUCAUCGAUGCCACCCGUGUGGUGGUCCAAGCCCAGUACGUCCCCCCCCCCCAGCGGCAGCAGGUCCGCUAUGCUGGGGGGUCCCCAGGGCCCACCACCCCCUCGGGCACUCCCCCUGCAGCCCCCAGGGCUGCCACUCCUCUGGCCUCACCCUCACCCCCCCGGGAGGCCCCCGGCAGCCCCCGCAGCCCCUGGCAGAGCCCGGGUGGCUGUGGGAGUUCCCGGAGCCGGCCCCCCCCGCGGCGGCCGGUGCUGUACGCCCAGGCGCUGCGCGAGGCUGUGUCCCGCAUCCGGCGGCACACGGCCCCCGACUCCGACUCGGACGUGGAGGGGGGCGUGGGGGGGUCCCGGUGGCGGCACUGCCACGACGCCUGUGCCUACAGCAGCAGCAGCAGCAGCCUAGAGAGCACCGGGGCCCCCUCUGGGGCUGCCAGCCCCCCUCGGGCCUGAGGGGCGGGGUUUGGGGGGGUGUGGUGCCCUCGGGGUGGGGCUUGGCAGGGUGUGGCCCUCGGGGGGGCAGGGCGAGAGGCUGCGGUUCCUGUGGGGUGACCCCAAUAAAGGCUGCAGGAUCCCGUUGUGCCA
ensembl:lncRNA